rnacentral:siRNA from 1 species
UAAUGGGCCUAAGUCAUGAGCUCG